rnacentral:rRNA from 1 species
UGGGCGUUAAGUUGCAGGGUAUAGACCCGAAACCCGGUGAUCUAGCCAUGGGCAGGUUGAAGGUUGGGUAACACUAACUGGAGGACCGAACCGACUAAUGUUGAAAAAUUAGCGGAUGACCUGUGGCUGGGGGUGAAAGGCCAAUCAAACCGGGAGAUAGCUGGUUCUCCCCGAAAGCUAUUUAGGUAGCGCCUCGUGAAUUCAUCUCCGGGGGUAGAGCACUGUUUCGGCUAGGGGGCCAUCCCGGCUUACCAACCCGAUGCAAACUGCGAAUACCGGAGAAUGUUAUCACGGGAGACACACGGCGGGUGCUAACGUCCGUCGUGAAGAGGGAAACAACCCAGACCGCCAGCUAAGGUCCCAAAGUCAUGGUUAAGUGGGAAACGAUGUGGGAAGGCCCAGACAGCCAGGAUGUUGGCUUAGAAGCAGCCAUCAUUUAAAGAAAGCGUAAUAGCUCACUGGUCGAGUCGGCCUGCGCGGAAGAUGUAACGGGGCUAAACCAUGCACCGAAGCUGCGGCAGCGACACUGUGUGUUGUUGGGUAGGGGAGCGUUCUGUAAGCCUGCGAAGGUGGCCUGUGAGGGUUGCUGGAGGUAUCAGAAGUGCGAAUGCUGACAUAAGUAACGAUAAAGCGGGUGAAAAGCCCGCUCGCCGGAAGACCAAGGGUUCCUGUCCAACGUUAAUCGGGGCAGGGUGAGUCGACCCCUAAGGCGAGGCCGAAAGGCGUAGUCGAUGGGAAACGGGUUAAUAUUCCCGUACUUGGUGUUACUGCGAAGGGGGGACGGAGAAGGCUAUGUUGGCCGGGCGACGGUUGUCCCGGUUUAAGCGUGUAGGUGUGUGUUCCAGGUAAAUCCGGUUCACUUUAACACUGAGGCGUGACGACGAGGCACUACGGUGCUGAAGCAACAAAUGCCCUGCUUCCAGGAAAAGCCUCUAAGCAUCAGGUAACAUCAAAUCGUACCCCAAACCGACACAGGUGGUCAGGUAGAGAAUACCAAGGCGCUUGAGAGAACUCGGGUGAAGGAACUAGGCAAAAUGGUGCCGUAACUUCGGGAGAAGGCACGCUGACACGUAGGUGAAGUGAUUUACUCAUGGAGCUGAAGUCAGUCGAAGAUACCAGCUGGCUGCAACUGUUUAUUAAAAACACAGCACUGUGCAAACACGAAAGUGGACGUAUACGGUGUGACGCCUGCCCGGUGCCGGAAGGUUAAUUGAUGGGGUCAGCGCAAGCGAAGCUCCUGAUCGAAGCCCCGGUAAACGGCGGCCGUAACUAUAACGGUCCUAAGGUAGCGAAAUUCCUUGUCGGGUAAGUUCCGACCUGCACGAAUGGCGUAAUGAUGGCCAGGCUGUCUCCACCCGAGACUCAGUGAAAUUGAACUCGCUGUGAAGAUGCAGUGUACCCGCGGCAAGACGGAAAGACCCCGUGAACCUUUACUAUAGCUUGACACUGAACAUUGAGCCUUGAUGUGUAGGAUAGGUGGGAGGCUUUGAAGUGUGGACGCCAGUCUGCAUGGAGCCGACCUUGAAAUACCACCCUUUAAUGUUUGAUGUUCUAACGUGGACCCGUUACCCGGGUUGCGGACAGUGUCUGGUGGGUAGUUUGACUGGGGCGGUCUCCUCCUAAAGAGUAACGGAGGAGCACGAAGGUUGGCUAAUCCUGGUCGGACAUCAGGAGGUUAGUGCAAUGGCAUAAGCCAGCUUGACUGCGAGCGUGACGGCGCGAGCAGGUGCGAAAGCAGGUCAUAGUGAUCCGGUGGUUCUGAAUGGAAGGGCCAUCGCUCAACGGAUAAAAGGUACUCCGGGGAUAACAGGCUGAUACCGCCCAAGAGUUCAUAUCGACGGCGGUGUUUGGCACCUCGAUGUCGGCUCAUCACAUCCUGGGGCUGAAGUAGGUCCCAAGGGUAUGGCUGUUCGCCAUUUAAAGUGGUACGCGAGCUGGGUUUAGAACGUCGUGAGACAGUUCGGUCCCUAUCUGCCGUGGGCGCUGGAGAACUGAGGGGGGCUGCUCCUAGUACGAGAGGACCGGAGUGGACGCAUCACUGGUGUUCGGGUUGUCAUGCCAAUGGCACUGCCCGGUAGCUAAAUGCGGAAGAGAUAAGUGCUGAAAGCAUCUAAGCACGAAACUUGCCCCGAG